UACGGAGGGGGCUAGCGUUGUUCGGAAUUACUGGGCGUAAAGCGCACGUAGGCGGGUUGUUAAGUCAGGGGUGAAAUCCUGGAGCUCAACUCCAGAACUGCCUUUGAUACUGGCAACCUAGAGACUGGAAGAGGUUAGUGGAAUUCCCAGUGUAGAGGUGAAAUUCGUAGAUAUUGGGAAGAACACCAGUGGCGAAGGCGGCUAACUGGUCCAGUACUGACGCUGAGGUGCGAAAGCGUGGGGAGCAAACAGG
rnacentral:rRNA from 1 species